GAAAUAAAGAGAAAUUAAGAAAAAUAAAAGAGAAAUGGAAACUACCUUAUUGUCUUUGGGGAGACUUUAUGGAGGGAUUUGUGAUAAAGGUGCUAUGAAAGGAGAGAAGAGCCAUUCCUCUUGUGUAUGUGUGUGGCUGCCGUGACCUAGAGAGAGAGAGAGAGAGUGGCAUGUAGAGAGAGAGAGAGAGAGAGAGAGAGAGAGGAAGAAAGAAAGAAAGGAAGAAGGAAGGAGAAAGUGAAGAGGAACCCCCUAGAGCUUGAACAAGGGUGUGGAGUUUGGGGUAUUGAUCUUUUGUGUUCUUGAUUUUUACAAUCAAGGGAGCAAAUAAGAUUUCUCUAUGGCACGCGUGGUGACGUGAGGAGUUCUUCAUCAUGGGGUGUAUGGUGUGGGGCAAUCCUAUGGACGAUAAAACGAUCAACGUGGAACGCCAUUUAAAUUAUGUUUUGUUUUAAGAGACUUUUCCUAAAAUUAUCAGUGGGACUCUGUUAUUUAAAUUAUUUGGUUUUCUUGAACCUUGCAUAAUAACCUAUGUUUUAUUUUGAACCUAUGGCGCCAACUUGCAUGAUUUUAAAUAAGUCCCCCUGAGACUUUAAUAAUGGACAGUAUUCUUUUAUAAACUAUGUUAAGCGAACGUUUUGUAAGUAUUAGUCUAGGGUGUUCUUUA